GACGAACGCUGGCGGCGUGCCUAAUACAUGCAAGUCGAACGCUUCUUUUUCCACCGGAGCUUGCUCCACCGGAAAAAGAGGAGUGGCGAACGGGUGAGUAACACGUGGGUAACCUGCCCAUCAGAAGGGGAUAACACUUGGAAACAGGUGCUAAUACCGUAUAACAAUCAAAACCGCAUGGUUUUGAUUUGAAAGGCGCUUUCGGGUGUCGCUGAUGGAUGGACCCGCGGUGCAUUAGCUAGUUGGUGAGUUAACGGCUCACCAAGGACACGAUGCAUAGCCGACCUGAGAGGGUGAUCGGCCACAUUGGGACUGAGACACGGCCCAAACUCCUACGGGAGGCAGCAGUAGGGAAUCUUCGGCAAUGGACGAAAGUCUGACCGAGCAACGCCGCGUGAGUGAAGAAGGUUUUCGGAUCGUAAAACUCUGUUGUUAGAGAAGAACAAGGAUGAGAGUAACUGUUCAUCCCUUGACGGUAUCUAACCAGAAAGCCACGGCUAACUACGUGCCAGCAGCCGCCGUAA
rnacentral:rRNA from 1 species